rnacentral:tRNA from 1 species
UCCUUGGUGGUCCAGUGGCUAAAACUCAGUGCUUUCAACACAGGGGGUUCAGGUUUGAUCCCUGGUCAAGGAA